AUAACUGGUUACUAUUAAUCAAUAUGAAGAUAACAAAGAGGUAUUAUGAAUGUUUUUCCUUUUCCUUUUACUUUUUGUGGUAGGAGUUUGAGUCUCCCAAGAGUAAGGUGGGAAGUUCUUGGAGGGAAGGAUGCCAGUGGUCUAUUUGGAAACAGCCUCUCUACCCCAGGGUAGGGGUAAGGUCUGCGUACAUACUACCC
rnacentral:lncRNA from 1 species